UCCGGUGGCUAUUGCGCGGGGGAAAUACCUCUUCCCAUUCCGAACAGAGCAGUCAAGCCCCGUAGCGCCGAUGGUACUUGGCCUGCAAGGGCCUGGGAGAGUAGGUCGCCGCCGGUC
rnacentral:rRNA from 1 species